CUCGGACUUCGGGCCUACAGAGUGCCUCAACCAGUAAAGUCGCUCACCCAAGGGCAGGAGAUGGCAGUGUGCCUGCGCAAAGGACUCUGGGAAAAGAGGGUCUGAAGUCCCGUUGCUAAACCUAUUUGAACAGGAGAGAGAAUAUUGAUGUUUGUCCCGUCAUUCUUCAAGCACUUCAUUAAAUAUUAAAAGUCUGGCCAUGUGAAUCCAUCUGUCCAUUAUCAGCAAGCUUCUUAUUCGUGGUGAGCGUUGUAGCAAUGCUAUCCUAAGACACCAGGAAACUGUCUUUGGUGGAUAGAUUAACUGAUUGGGUAGUUUAAAUGAGGAAUAGAAG
rnacentral:lncRNA from 1 species